AUACCUUUCUCGGCCUUUUGACCAAGAUCAAAUGUAGUAUCUGUUCCUUAUCAGUUUAAUAUCUGAUAUGUGAGUCAUCGAUUCACACGAUAUUAACUCUAUUUUUAAGGGGGAGGUUCACCAUGGUAGCUUGCUAUUGGGACCUUCAUGAAUGGCCUUGGUGUUGCACUACUGCCUCGGCCUGGCUCAUCUCAC